UGGACAUGAUGACAGCUGAGGUGUGGUGCUGGUGUGAGUGACUGCUGAAUACUGUUUAGAAUGUUUAAAGUGUAUUUUAGCUUUGUAUAGUGUGUGUGUGUGUGUGUGUGUGGGGCUGAUGGUGGGGGUGGCAGAGAUCAGUGCUGAUACAGGAGUGCAUCUGAGGCGGGCCGCUCACACAGAGGCUUCUCUGCGGUCUGGCUGAUGAUUAGAGCCUCAGUAUCAUCCUCACCCUCAGCCGCCAGCGCCACAGUCUCAGCAGGGCUUGUGAUUCAUCUCACACGUCCUGGGAUCUGAUCCGA